GAUUGAAGUGAUGAUUUAUUUUACCUAAUAUUGCUGCACUAUGGUAUGAUGAUCUAUAAUACAUGCACUACCAUCUGAUCAAUCUUUUAGCCACUCAGUUUUUUCAUUAUUUCCUAAUUGUUUGUAAAUCCCAAGUUAAAAAUGUAUACGUUGCAAUCGAUGAUGCAAAUCUACAUUUUAAACUGAUGUUUUGCUGUGAUUAACCUAAAUUAUCACCAUCUUUCGGCUGAGAUCGCAUUAGAAGGUGUUAUUUAUUUAUUUAUUUUUAAUUUUAAAUGCCUUAUGGUAUCUGAUGCCUUGACCUAAUUAAUGUUUUAGGCAUCUCGUUAGACGGGCAGAUAGUGAUGAAAACAGGUUUGCGACACAGUUUGCUGCUACAUACAUUUCAAAGCUUACUGUUACUUUUAUUACUGUUAACAUUUUUAAACAUAAAAUUUUUGAGGGCAGUGAUGAGAAAUUAGGAAAGUCAUGCACCACUCUGAUACUCAUUGUGAUUGAUAAACUUUCUCAUAACCCAUAUUUUUGUAUCUGAGCCCUUUAAGGUUUUUGUAAAUUAUGUAUAUGAAUGCAUUCUCUGUGAAUAUGAUGAGAAUUAUUGUCGCCCCAGUCUUAUGAGCUGCAUAAACGUACGUAUCUCUCUGGUGAUAGACAUAUUUAUAAUCUGAUUC
rnacentral:lncRNA from 1 species